UUCGCCACGCCCGCUCAAGAACUACAAAGGUAAUGAGGGGCCCCGCACAAGCGGUGGAGCAUGUGGUUUAAUUCGAAGCAACGCGAAGAACCUUACCAGGCCUUGACAUGCAGAGAACUUUUCCAGAGAUGGAUUGGUGCCUUCGGGAACUCUGACACAGGUGCUGCAUGGUUGUCGUCAGCUCGUGCCGUGAGGUGUCGGGUUAAGUCCCAUAACGAGCGCAACCCCUACUGCUAGUUGCCAGCGGGUUAUGCCGGGGACUCUAGCGGAACUGCCAGCGUAAGCUGCGAGGAAGGUGGGGAUGACGUCAAAUCAGCACGGCCCUUACGUCCAGGGCUACACACGUGUUACAAUGGCCAGUACAGAGGGCAGCCACCCCGCGAGGGGGCGCUAAUCCUAAAAGCUGGUCCCAGUUCGGAUCGGAGUCUGCAACCCGACUCCGUGAAGCUGGAUUCGCUAGUAAUCGCGCAUCAGCCACGGCGCGGUGAAUACGUUCCCGGGCCUU
rnacentral:rRNA from 1 species